GUGUACUCACCAGCCUGGCGAUCCAAGCCCGGCACUGCGCUCACAGAAGGCUGAGGCAAAGAAACAGCAGUACCAGCAUCCACAGAAGACAUCAACUGUGGUCCAGGCACCACCUGCUGGACGGGUCCAUGAACUGCAGCAGAUGCCUGAGAAGAGAGCAGUGGAGAAGAGGAGAGCCCACACCCAAAAGGAGAUGGCCGAGUUGCCGGCCACCAUCCACGCUGCAGCAGCCCUGAGGGAAGCCAGAAAGCCUCAACCUCCAUCCCUCAAGCUGUGUAAAUCUGCAGGCCCAGGCAAACAGGAGCAGGAGGACAGGAAGCUGUUUGCUGGCCCGAAUGCCAAGUGGCACUGAGACAUUGGUGAAAAGGAAGUUCGAAGAAUAUAAUGGAUAAAUCACUCAAACAAGCUACUCCAGGGACAAUUAACCAUUGUGCUCAGUAUUACUAGUUUGUAGAACUACAGCUCCCCCUUCUGGGCAGUAAGUUUAAUGCAAAAAGUUGGAGCACACUAAAAAAAAGGUUUUACUUUACUCUAUUUAUAUGAACAUUUUAUAUUUGAUUUGUAAAUUGUCAUAGAUUUUUGGGGGCAUGUUUCAUGAUAACGAGAGAAGAUAUUUGGCUUCAUAAUCCAAAACCCUUCCACUAAUGUAUGAUAAUGGGCUCUAUCCCAAUAUUGAAGCCGAAUUGCUCUAGUAAAUGUUGUCUAUUUGAAGAAUUCUCCUGCACCUGUAGUUUGUAACAAAGUGUUUUGCCCACUAUAAUGAGAAUGGUGAGAACACUCAGAGGGGCAGAGUGUUCCGAAGUGUUCUAGAGAGAUUCUCAGAAUUUUCAACCGGCUGAAGUAAAACAAAAACAUCCUGACGAUUAUUAUCAAGGUGUGUCAAAUCACUGUGUCUGAACGACACCGCACUUUCCGAUCUCUGGCCGUGUGCGAUUGUAUCAGAGUAAAACAUACCAUCAUGUAUUUAGACAUCAACCAAUAUGAAAACAAAAUAAAUAGAGAUCUA